UUGUGGCCAUAUCACGUUGAAACACCGGUUGUCGUCAGAUCACUGAAUUCAAGCAACGCCGAUCCUGGUCAGUCAGUACCUAGAUGGGUGACUGUUUGGGAAUAUCAGGUGAUGUCAG